GGUCAGGAUGAACGCUAGCGACAGGCCUAACACAUGCAAGUCGAGGGGCAGCACAAGGAGCAAUCUGAGGUGGCGACCGGCGCACGGGUGAGUAACACGUAUGCAACCUGCCUGUAAGCGGGGAAUAACCCGUUGAAAGAACGGACUAAUACCGCAUAAUACUAAAUUACUGCAUGGUAAUUUAUUUAAACAUUUAUGGCUUACAGAUGGGCAUGCGCAUGAUUAGCUAGUUGGAGAGGUAACGGCUCCCCAAGGCAACGAUCAUUAGGGGUUCUGAGAGGAAGGUCCCCCCACACUGGUACUGAGACACGGACCAGACUCCUACGGGAGGCAGCAGUGAGGAAUAUUGGUCAAUGGACGAGAGUCUGAACCAGCCAAGUCGCGUGCAGGAAGAAUUGUCCUAUGGAUUGUAAACUGCUUUUGCAGGGGAAUAAAGUGCAUCACGUGUGAUGUUUUGUAUGUACUCUGCGAAUAAGGAUCGGCUAACUCCGUGCCAGCCGCCGC
rnacentral:rRNA from 1 species